rnacentral:ncRNA from 1 species
GUUCUCAGGGCGGGGUGAAAGUCCCCACUGGCGGUGACCUUCUGGGGAGUCCGCGAGCGGCCUUCGAUGGCGGAGGCGUCAGCAGAUCCGGUGCGAUUCCGGAACCAACGGUAACAGUCCGGAUGGAAGAGAAU